AAUAAAAUCACUUUCAAAAAUAAUCGUACGUAAUUCAAAACAUUUGUGUGUAAUUUUAAUAUACUCGUGCGUAAUUUAAAACUAUUGUACGUAAUUCUGUUUUUUGUCAGAGUUGGAUUCCAAAAUCUACGGCCACGACGGUUUACAGAUACGCGAUUUUGUGUGUUUUUUUAUAGUACAACUAUAAAAUGUACGACUGUGACAGUUUACAGACACGGCGCUUGUUUUCACAAUAGCUCUGUUAUACACACGACAUGCAAAUUACGACCACGAAAUGCGGUGUGUGAAACGACUGUCAAAAAUACGUCAUUAAGGUCACAGGCAUUACUAUGCGAGGGAAGAUGAAUUGAUUCAACGAAGUGCGCAUGCGCCCUACCAAAGUUUUAAACCACUGGCGCCGAAAUGGCGGAUCAACAGCCAAGCGCUUACACCUCGUCUCAGGAAACUUGUGUUGGGGAGGAUUCAAUAUCUGUUGAGGCUCAUGUGAAUGUGUUAUAAAGUGAAACACAUCCAGACACAUGGCUGUCAAAGACCACACGACAGGAACAUUCUCCUGGAGACGCUGAGAAAGCACUGAAGGAAUGUCUGAGGAGGAUGUACUCAAAAAAUACACAUACUUCAGGACACCUGCUGGAGGGGACCCGUCUACACCUUUCCUACCGUACACCUGAUGGAUACUGACUGUAAAAUGUCAAUCAUAGUUCGAGGGCUCAGUGUGGUGACAGAAGAUGGAACAGAUGAGUGUCAGUGCACCAGUCUUGAUGAAGCUUCAUAACAGCCUUCUGGAUGUAUUCUGCUUUCAACAUUGCAUAUCCACCACACAUGAGAAAGACACUGACUUUCCUUCAGAGGGACAUUGUCAACAUUAGAAGAUGGAGACAAGCACUGCCAGUAACUUUACUCUGAAUGAUUAGCCUCUUUUAUUAGAUCCUCAUGCCUUGACUGUACCAUUGCACAAAGUGCACUCGAAGGACAUUCACUCUUUUGAAGUUAACCCAACACUUUGGAGUUGUACAUGCACAUGAACCAAAUAGCUUGCUCUAUUCUUUUUUCUAUUCUAUCUGUUUUCUUUUUAUUUAUUACAUUAUUUAAAAGCCCUUGCUACAUGUAAUGUGUUAAGCUAACUGAGACUUGUUAAAGCUCUUAUAUAUCAUUGCUCUUUUUGUUUUUUGAUUGCUUCAACUCUGUCCUCAUCUGUAAGUCGAUUUGAAUAAAAGCGUCUGCUAAAUGAAUAAAUGUAAAUGUAAAUAUUAGUAUAACCUGUGGUAUAGAUGAGUGCCAGUCAACUUUUUUCUGAUUCCAUUCUGUUAGAAACCAUGCACAGGAAGCAUAUGUAGUACUUUUGUUACUCAGUGAAUAGUCAGUAGUACAGUUGUAUUAUAAUAUAAUGGAGAAGGAUCUGGCUGCAGACUUGCAGUCUCAGACACUUGUGCUUCUUUUUUUAUUGGAUAUUUUAUUCUACUUAUUGGUUACUUCUUGUUUGAAUCUCUCAACAUUUGUUUUUCUCUUGUGUAGGUAUGGUUGACUGGAAGUCUGUCAGUCCAGAUGUGAGGAAGACACAGAGUGGAGCUGGAGCUCAGCAGAUGUGUGAUGCUGUAGAUACUGUGGUCUUGGAAAGAAGGGAUCUUCACAGCUUUCUAUUCAGACGAAGAGUUUGCUGGAUUCUGUUCUAUGGACUGCUACUACAGAAUGAAUGAAUGAAUGAGUGGUCUAUCUAUCUAUCUAUCUAUCUAUCUAUCUAUCUAUCUAUCUAUCUAUCUAUCUAUCUUUUUACUUGAAUUGGUGAAUGAAACUGAAAGCUAAAUAAAUGUUUUAGUGGAUAAA